GGACUUUGAAAGAGGGUGUGUGUGUUAAAUACAGGAAUUACACCCAGCUGAGGAAAACCUGGGAGGCACGAGUGUCACUGGUUGGGGACCUGGGGGGCUUGGUGGGGACAUGCAGUGGGCACCUGGGCAGCAACAAUUGCUCACCCAAAUUGCAAAUGGGGAGCAGCUGGCUGCAGAGGUGGAGCAAUGGGUUCUUAAAUGUGGUGGCCGGUAAUAACAAGUGAUAUCAGGCUCUUGUGAGGGAGGUGCAUGCUGUCCCUAACUGCUGAGCUCAUAGGGUAGGAGGCACUUCUUUUGGAAUCAGCUCUGGCAAAGCCUAAGCUGGAGUGUUGUCUCAUUUUGUGCUUAGCAACCACUGCAAGAACACAUGCAGCUGGGAAUCUGGCCUAACCCACCUCACCUCCCGAGAGCCUCUCUCUCUCUCCGCUCCUCGGGCUAGGUGGGAGAUGAAGGAAGACUUUCCCAGGCCACCCUGACGUGGAAGCAGGGAGCUUUGGAGCAUACCUCACCUCCACGGGAUGAUCCAUGCAGGAGCAGUUGCUCAGGAGCUGUUUGCAGGCUCCGUCUCUGACCGGUUUCAGCGAUCCCAGUCCAGGGCCAGCCAAUUUAUCGCGAGGGCUUCGCUCGAGGCUUGCUGUCGGUUGGCAUCGCAAGGCGGCUGUAAAUAGUGAAUAAAUGAAUGGAGCAGGCUCCGCUUUGGCAUAAGCAGCAAGUCCUCCUGCUGCUUUCAGGGGGCAUUGCAUCAGAGCUGGAUUUGGCUCCUCGGGAGGCGGCGUGAGCCAGUGGGCAAAGCAACAGGGGGAGGCAGAGACCUGGGUUUGCAACCCGCCUCUGCCACUGACUUCCAGCAUCACCUUGGGCAAGUUAUUUCUCCUCUCUGCCCUCGUCUCCCCUCCUCCCCAGCUUGCGUUUCUUUUGUUUCUGCAUACUGUAAGCUCCUCAGGGGAGGGGCUGCGUUUUACAGCUUCGAGCGGUGUAAGGGACACCGCUACCACGCUGAAAUAAUUGGAUGUCAGUCUGCAGAACAGAGAAGAAAAUGGUGCUGUAGCAUUCUUGGGUCCUUUUGGGUAAUGUAAGAUAUAUCGUAAAGCACUUUGGCUGCAACAACAAAGCUUAUUGAUUAGCCCAGAGUAUUCCAAAUUGGGUCUUUCUGCCCGAGAAGUAGCAGGACGAAGAAUUAAAGUACUUACACAGGAGAAUAUUGUACAUGAGUUAUUGAGUAACCAUCAGCUCUGCGCCAGCGCUGCUCAAUUUCUCUGGACCGUGUGCAACUUCUGAACAUUUUAUCUUUUUCCUUCUGCUUUCGCAGGCUCGUGCCAGCUUCUGCAGCAUAUAAAGGUGACCUGGAACACAUCUGCAAAGCCCUCCAAAGUAGUAGGAAUGUGCUCCGUUAGGACAUGAUUCAUCCUGCAUACCGCAUGGGUGGCUGCUCAGGGAGAAUUUUGACAUUUGCAUAGGCAGAGACUUUCCGCUUCUCGCUUGCCCUCCAACUCCCGCGCUCUGCCUGCUCGAGCAGGGGGGCUGCGCAGCCAGAAGGGAUCUCCCCGAGCUGGAGCCGACCCAGCAGAAGUGGUUCUGCCCUGCCACCUAAAAGGGGCCACGGGUGAGCUCCAGGGGCCAUGCUACAGCUUAAGGCAAGAAGUUGCUCACUGAAGGAUGGCUUCAGACCCUUAGUCCCUGCUCCAAGCGAAGCUGGAACGGAGCUGCUGUCCAGGGAUCGAUCAGGUAUUUGGGAACUGCAGCCGGCCCCCGCGGGCAGGAAAAUGUUGUUACAGUCCUACUGCUCAGGCAAAACCUUUGGCACGGCAAAGGUAAGUGAUACGAACAGCAGGACUGAGUCACGCACGCUGGAAAAGGAGUUGGGCAACAGCACAGUUGUCUCUUUCUACCUUCGGGCUGCUCCCGAAGUGGCUUUACCUCGGC